rnacentral:rRNA from 1 species
CUAGGAUUCCCUUAGUAACGGCGAGUGAAGAGGGAAAAGCUCAAAUUUUGAAUCUGGGGUCUUUGACUCCCGAGUUGUAAUCUAGAGAAGUGUUUUCCGUGUCGGACCGUGCACAAGUUCCCUGGAACGGGGCAUCAUAGAGGGUGAAAAUCCCGUAGAUGGCAUGGACUUCCCGAUGCUUUUGCGAUACACUCUCAACGAGUCGAGUUGUUUGGGAAUGCAGCUCAAAAUGGGUGGUAAAUUCCAUCUAAAGCUAAAUAUUGGCGAGAGACCGAUAGCGAACAAGUACCGUGAGGGAAAGAUGAAAAGCACUUUGGAAAGAGAGUGAAACAGUACGUGAAAUUGUUGAAAGGGAAGCGUUUGAAGUCAGUCAUAUCUGGCGGGAUUCAGCCUGGCCUCGGCCUGGUGGACUUCUCGUCCGAUGGGUCAGCAUCAAUUUUGACAGGGGGAAAAAGGCAUGCGGAAUGUGGCUGUCUUCGGGCAGUGUUAUAGCCGUGUGUUGUAUGCCUCUGUUGGGAUUGAGGAACGCAGCGCGCCCUGUGGCCAGGGGUUCGCCUCUUGACACGCGCUUAGGAUGCUGGCAUAAUGACUUUAAGCGACCCGUCUUGAAACACGGACCAAGGAGUCUAACAUGUGCGCGAGUGUUUGGGUGUC